AGAAAAUUGCUUUUUCUUAACCUGACCCCACCCCUUCCUGGGCUGGACUAAUUACGCCCUCGGGUUGCCAAUAUCUAGAGGAUGCGCCAGGGGGCAGUGUGCGCCGGGACGUAGUGCGUGUGGAGCGCAUGCGCAGCAGAGCGAGUAGGCGUGUGUACCCAGUUCCUGGUGCUGCGGAGCUAUGAGCUCUUCACUGCUGUUGACCCUGCUGUCGCUCCUGUCCGGCCCGUGGAUCGAGCUAGGGAAUGGGCAGGUGACAAGCAUGGUUAAGCUGCCAGGUGGCAGAUUCCAGAUGGGAACAAAUUCACCAGAUGGCAGAGAUGGUGAAGGACCUGUCCGGGAGGUGACAGUAAAACCUUUUGCCAUCGACAUAUUUCCUGUCACCAACAAAGAUUUCAGGUAUAUCAGGGAGUUUGUCAGGGAGAAAAAGUACCGGACAGAGGCCGAGACGUUUGGGUGGAGCUUUGUCUUUGAGGACUUUGUCUCAGAUGAGCUUAGAAACAAAGCGACUCAGCAAAUGAAGCCUGUUCUCUGGUGGCUUCCAGUGGAAAGGGCUUUCUGGAGGCAGCCCGCAGGUCCCGGCUCUGGCAUCCGAGAGAGACUGGAGCUCCCAGUGGUACACGUGAGCUGGAAUGAUGCGCGGGCCUACUGUGCAUGGCAGGGGAAACGGCUGCCUACUGAGGAAGAGUGGGAGUUUGCGGCCCGAGGGGGCUUAAAGGGUCAGGUUUAUCCCUGGGGAAACAAGUUCCAGCCAAACCGCACCAACCUGUGGCAGGGAAAGUUCCCCAAGGGUGACAAGGCUGAGGACGGCUUCCAUGGGGUCUCCCCAGUGAACGCGUUCCCCCCACAGAAUAACUAUGGGCUCUAUGACCUCGUGGGCAACGUGUGGGAGUGGACAGCUUCACCAUACCAGGGUGCAAACCAGGAUAUGCGUGUCCUCCGGGGGGCAUCCUGGAUCGACACAUCCGAUGGCUCUGCCAAUCACCGGGCCCGGGUCACCACCAGGUCGAUGCUCAACCACUGAGCCACGUUGGCUGGGCAACUAUGGGGAUGACUUCAGUGUGCCAGGAAAAGCAUGUGGGCUCUGUAUGCAACUCUGAGCUCUUUGGACCAUCACACCUUGGAUAUAAGGGGCAAUUAACACUAUGAGCCUCCAGGAAAAUGGGCAAAGGAGACCACUGACGAGCCCAGGAGGAACUAUGUUAGAGGACUCGCCAGGAGUGAAUUAUCUGUGGUCAUUCAGAUGCUCAGGGUAAGGCAGUCUUGGCCCCUUUCAGGAACUGAAUGAUUUGGUAGAAAAGGGCACUCCAAGAACAGCUGAGGACAGGAGGCAGCAACUGAGUAAUUCACUCAUUCAACAUCAACUCACCCUGUAGUAAGAGGUCUCUAAGACUUAAGAGGGCGGAAACCAGAUAACAGAACCUAUGAAAGGUACAUUUAAAAACUGAGAAAGUGCGAGAGCAUAAUGUAGACUUGGAGAUCAACUCGUAAAAUUUUUAGUUCUUUGAGGUUUGGAGCUUGGUUAGCAAAAAUGGUGCACCUCAAAUUGAGUCCACCUAAAGACAAUUGCAGCUCACCUGCGUCUUUCAUGAAGUGGGAGCUACAAUGCCUAAAAUUAGAAAAACAUCUAUAGGGGAACUGCGUGUAUUAAGAGAAUGGUUUUCACCUCUGAUCAAACUAAUUGGAUAUUCUAGGGCAGUGGUCGGCAAACUCAUUAGUCAACAGAGCCAAAUAUCAACAGUACAAUGAUUGAAAUUUCUUUUGAGAGCCAAAUUUUGUAAACUUAAUCUAUAUAGGUAGGUACAUUGUUAUUAAGUUAAUUAGGGUACUCCUAAGGGGCCAAAGAGCCGCAUGUGCCUCGCGAGCCCCAGUUUGCCGAGCACUGUCUAGGGAACAGUGACAAAUAGUGCUCACAGGGAACCCACUUACUCUUCACCCGAUUAGAACAUUAGUAUUUUAAAGUUUCUUGUUACUGCUCAGUUUAUUGAACACUGGCUCCGAAGGCUUAUAGUACCUGGAACCUUUUUAAUGGGCAACAUGUUUGCUAGUGAACUACUCCUUACAUAACUAUUUCCCUACAAAAGUUUCUCAGGGAGCUUUACCAGGACCUCUGGGUGGAU